GACGAACGCUGGCGGCGUGCUUAACACAUGCAAGUCGAACGGAAAGGCCCUGCUUUUGUGGGGUGCUCGAGUGGCGAACGGGUGAGUAACACGUGAGUAACCUGCCCUUGACUUUGGGAUAACUUCAGGAAACUGGGGCUAAUACCGGAUAGGAGCUCCUGCUGCAUGGUGGGGGUUGGAAAGUUUCGGCGGUUGGGGAUGGACUCGCGGCUUAUCAGCUUGUUGGUUGGGUAGUGGCUUACCAAGGCUUUGACGGGUAGCCGGCCUGAGAGGGUGACCGGCGAAAUUGGGACUGAGAUACGGCGCAGACUACAAAGGGAGGAAGCAGUGGGGAAUAUUGAAAAAUGGGCGGAAGCCUGAUGCAGCAACGCCGCGGGCGGGAUGACGGCCUUCGGGUUGUAAACAGCUUUCGCCUGUGACGAAGAGUGAGUGACGGUAAUGGGUAAAGAAGCACCGGCUAACUACGUG
rnacentral:rRNA from 1 species